UUUCUAACCAGAGGAGGCGGCCUCCAGAGUUAAUCAGAGAGAAUGUCGAUCAUCCAGGGCUAGAAUUUAAAUGCGGGACCAUCUGUAAUUGUGAAAAGUUAAUUAGCCCGACGCGCAACGCGGUCAUGUCCGGGGCAAGCGGCUCCAAAGCGGAGCCCUCCGCGCAGGCAGCCUGCCACCGCCUAAUGAGCGUCUCCCGGUGCGCAGGUUUAUCAUCUGAGCACUUUUGGUGAAGGUUACAUUUGAAUAAUUUCCAAGCCUCAGUUAGAGAUAUUGUUUAAUGUGCGCAUUGUAUCCUAAUGGAAUUAAGACCAGACGACCAAAAAAAAAAAAAAAAAGGAGGAACACUGACGAUACACACAUCCUGGUUGUGGGGAAACGUCAAGUCCAUUGAAGCUUUUUUUAAUAUCAGUAGCUACACCAUACAAAAAAAAAAAAAAAACACAUUUAUAAAGAGUAUAGCAGCUACAUUAAACUAUUCUAAUGUGCAUAAUAAAUCAGUGUCCUAAUAAAUGUAUCAAAAUCUCUCUAAGGGAUAAAUUAUUUCCCUUCCCGUUGAAUUAAGAUUUAUUUACUAUUACUUCAUUGAUUAAACCAUCCAGAUCUACUAAUCAACAUAAUUAAGGAAUUUAUUUAAAUCACACUACUUCCUAAUUAUUUAAUUUAGACAAAAGAAAAAAGAAAGGCAACGAGAAGAACAAAGAGCGAGAACAAAAAUGGGGAGAGAGGAAUUUGAUUGACCAGCUUUUCAUACUAGAACAACCAUUAUGGGGGGGGGGGGGGGGGGGCAGUGGUGUGAUCCAGAAUAUUCUCUUAAAGAAACAUGGCAGGAAUGUCGCAGAGAAACCAGACAACUGAGGCAAAGCAGAGGCAGGCUGCUGCAUCCUGGGCACACAAAGGAGCGCCGCCGCAGAUCCUUCCCCCCAGCAGCCGCCAGACUCUGAAUCCAGACUCUGAAUUUUUUACGUCCCUGCUGCUGUUCACACAGUUCUACUCAUUUUAAACAACUUUUGCUGCUGGUAAUCCACGUGUCUGUUGUUUGGACUUUUUUUUAUUAUUAUUUUCACUUAUUUUAAAUAUUGUGUUAUGAUUUUUGAAUUCACAAAUAAAAAAAAACAAACCAUUUAUGACUAGCAGAUUCCUUUGGAUUGGAGAAGGCUAUUUUUGAUAACCGGGUUUAUGUUGUACCUUUUCUCUUACUGGACAGGGUUAUUUUUCGUUUAGUUUUAUUUUUGGUUUUAUACUUUUUUCUUUUUGUAUUUGCUGCUUUUACAGCCGAAUGUCUCCAUUGUGGGUCAAAAAAUGUUUCUAUUCUAUUCUAGAAGAAAACAAUGUUUAUGAAUCUGGCAGAACGAUCAGACUCGGUUCUGACAGAUCUGGGAAAGACGUUUUCACGGCUUUUGUUUGUCUCUGUUUGGUUCUCGGGGCGACCCUGUCAAGGACAGAGUCGUCAUGAGGGCCCCGUCAGAGGUGGAGUCGAAGAGCCGAGCACUCGUGGAAAGAAAGACGUUUUCUGACAUUUUGUUUUUCACAUUCUUUAGGAGAAACGCAGAAAAUGAAACACUAAAUGUAAAGUGUAGAAAGGGAGGGAGGAAACACUAAAUCCUUGAAUAUAUAUAAUGAUUCCUUUCCUUGCCUAUCCUCUUUUUAUCCUUCCUUCCUUGUGACCUAACUCUAGUCUUUCUUUGUCCCAUUGCUUCGUCUCAAUAAUCCCUUCUUUCCUUUUUUGCUUCCUAUCUUCUUUCCUUUCCUUGUGUCCUUCCUUCUUGUCCUCUUGAUGCCUAUGCUUCCUUCCUUCGCUCCUUCCUUCCUUCCUUCUUCCUAACCUUCCAUCCUUGUUAUCCGGCUCCUUUGUUUCCAUCCUGGAUUUCUUUUGUUCUGUCUUUAUUCAUCCCUUGUGUCUUUGAAGUGUCUUUCUUUAUUCCUUCUUUUCUUUACUUCUUUCUUUCUUUCCCUUUUUCUUUCAUUCUUUCAACAUCGCUCGUCUCCCCUUUCCUUUCUUCACUCAUUGUGUAAGUUCUUCCUUCCUCCCUUUUACACUUUACAAAUCUUAUCCAAUUCAUUUGUGUCUUUAAUCUGUUGAAUCAACAGAAACGUAUCGAAAUGGAACCAAACAGGGUUUUGCUGAUUCUCCCUCUGAUGUUUUUUUUUUUUUUCCUUUUUGUCAGCGCGUAUCACGAGCGAAUGACUUCACUUAUCUACUAUUAUUAUUACUAUUACUCCUAUAAUAUCAGACCAACGCCCAGAAGCUGAGCCAGUGUCUGGACUGUCUCCACAUCCUGAUCAGUGCGCAUCCCCUCCACCGGCACCGAGUGAGCAAGUGAGGGAGGGAAGGAGGGAAGGAAGGAGGCUUCAUCCUUUUCUCCUCCGUGCCGCCGCCGCGCCCCUUUGACCACGCGUGAUUCGCAACAAUGGGAGGACAGAGAGAGAGAGAGAGAGAGAGGUGAUCGCAGUAGCAGAGCCAGAGAUUCCAGGAUCUAAAGGGUGGAGUGUAUAUCUAACCUCUGAUUUUUUUUUUUUUUUUUUGAACUGUUCCUAUUGUUAUCCCUUCACUUUCUUUUUAAUCGCAAGGGAAAAGAGGAGGCUCUUUUUUCUUUUCUUUUCUCUCUUUUUUUCUGAGGAUGGAAAGCAACAAAAAAAAAAAAGAAGAGAGCGAGGGGGGCGUUUCCCCUCUUUUCCUCUCUCUCUCUCCCUCCCUCCAUCCCUCCCUCUCUCUCUUUCUCUGUUCAGUGUGAUUUCCAGAUAUUGCCAACACGCAGCCGUCGACUUGAGUUGCGCGGAGAGGAACUGACAGACUUCCACCAACAAUGGGGGGAACCCUGGGCGGUCGGAGCGGCUCUGGAAACCUCCACCCCUUUUCCCCUCCAACUCUCUCCUGCCGCGCCGCCGAGCGGGCGGGUGUGUGGGUUCGGGGGGGACGAUGGAGGGACGGGAGGCAGGAGAGACGGUGGAGGGGAGUGACCGCUUGCUCCCGUCUCGACCACGGGUAUUCUUGGGUUGAUAAUACAGAUGUCGAUGUUAUUGCUUGAGAAUACGCGUAGCUGAGCGGAAGCCAUCGUCCUCAGAUGUGUUUUCACCCCGAAGCGGGCGUCCUCACCCCACCCCCGAUCCUCACCCAGACUUGUCCCCUCUUCUUCCUUCCCCUCCUCAGUCCUUCUACCUCUCUUACAGCAUCCUCCUCUCAGCCUCUCAGCGGGAAGUGAGCUCCUUCCAAGCGUGCAUCACACACCUUUUUAGCUCUGAUUGUUCAUCCGCUUGACAGAUGCCCUUAUCAGAGUGCAAGAGAAGAGGGAGAAUCCAAUAAGUGCACACGGGGUGGCGGCGGAGGGAGGGGACGGCAGCGAGACAUGACUCCGCACGACAGGACAGAGGGCCCAAACGCAGUCGCACUGGAUCCUGUGGCUCGUCGCGUAUAAGGUCACAGUCAAAGAGCAAAUCCAAUAUCCAGACAGGCCGGCGGGGGGGAGGGGACGGGUGGAGGCAAACAAGCUGGCGGGCAGAUAGGGGCCACGGGGCGGGGAGCGCGUUUAGAUGGGAGCAGAUAAAUCUCAGUCCACUCUCAGCUGUUUUCUCCCAGACUGGCCGGAGGAGACGCAGAGGAGGAGAAACGGGGACGAGGGGGACGGACCAGCAGAUUACCUGUGAGGAGGACACUCGUCCAAAUCUACCUCUGAGGUAGACUUUUAGCAGGUAAACGUUGUUCCACUGGCUGGUUCUCUGCCAAAAUCAGAAGAGACGUUGACUCGACAAAAUGUGAGCCUUUUCAUUGGGGAGGUAGCGGGGCAGUAUUAUGUAAAAUCAACUUUUUGGAGCUGUACAUCAUGUUACAAUGUUAUUCCUUGAUCAAAAACAUAGCGUUUUUUUGAUCGCUGAGAUCAAAAACCGCCUUGCCUUGAUUAUUUCACGCAUGUUUGAGAAAUAAUUCAAUUUCCACGGCAACCAUUCAGCUGUGCAAAAGGCAUGGGUGGACCUAGCCCCGCCUUCGAGGACGAAGCUCCUCCUCUGAGCUGCAGCUUCCAACCUUCCACCCCUGUGCUCCUCCACUCAGCUCCUUCAGACUAGCCAGCAGUAAUUAGCAAGCACCUGGUGGAGCCACACAUCACCUGAGCUACUUUUCAGCAACGCUGGUAAAAAUGUUAUUAAAGGGUUAAUAGAGGAGCGAUGUUGUGACGACUUCCUGAAGGCGGAGCUUCAGAAAUUCUGAGUAUUUCUGAAACUCCGAAAACUAUUUUGGAGUUUCAGAAAUAGGUACCAUAGUUACUUGAUUGUGCUAUAAAAUGACACCAUGUGGCUGGAAAACUCAUAGUGCUGCCCCUUUAAAGAACAAAACAACAAAAGUUUUGCUGCUCCUCUAAAUUGGACAGACAACAGAGCAUGCUAGUUAGCAUGUAACUGCGUGUCGUAAACUCCGUGAGUCAGGAAAAUGCUGCGAGGAUGAGCUACACUAAAGCUGACGCACAUCUACGUCAGUAACUAAAAAGUUUACGUCAACAGAAAGUGUUAAAAGAGGCUGGAGGCGGACUUUAGAGAACUGCAGCUGACUGGGAUCUUGGGGUUACCUAGCAACAACUAUCACCUUUCAUAUAUUUGUCAAAAGCUGCAUAAAUGUGAAGUUAGCUUAAUUUUGCUGGGGGCAGGGGGGUCGUUUUAGACACAUUAUAGUUAUUUGUAGUCUUCUAGUUUUUGAUUUUGCAGUAAAUGUAUCAAACUGAACUGUAAACUCACGGAGGAAUGAAUUCCUGGUGAAUGUUACAUCUUUGAAGAAAAGACAUCCUUCAUAUCUGUGUGAAACAUUUAUCCCCGGAGGAAAUGGAGUUAAAGUCGCAGAGAGAUUUACUUCUGCUGUUUCACAUAACGGCAUCCUGCUGUUAUGAGAAAUGCUCCUUUUUUUUUAUUCUACGUAUCAUGUACAAUACAACACGUGAAUUGAAACGCAACAAGUUUUGUUCUUUCAAAACCUGUUUUUUUAUGUUCAUGCAAUAUUACUAUUAGAUGUGUUUGGUCUGAAUAAAUGUUACGUAUGCAAUGUAUGGAACAGGAAUUCGUCUUUCACCUUUUCAACAAGCACCAUGUUGCUCCUAUAUGUAUCAUUCCAUUCACUUUCUACAGUGUAAAAUGAUGUCACACUGGCUAUUUUUCAGACUUAUCCCAUAUUUUUACAUGACCAAAAUUCGAUUUGACCAACUUUUAUCCCCUCCUCCUCCCUCCCUAACAGUUUUAUCUCAUUGUUAUUAGUUAAAAACCUAUUUUUAUCAUAGUUUUAGUAACUCGGAGGAGUUUUUAGUUAGCCUGAGUCUAUUUGUCAGAAAGAAAGAAAAAAAAACUUAUUGGCAAAAGAAAACAUUUUUUUGGCAAAGAAUUUGGUUAAAUGAGACCAAAGCUGAUGUUUUGUUCCUGCAACAAAUCCUCCAAGUACGGUGGAAGACGUGUGAUGCUGUGGGCCUGUUUGUCCUCCAAACACAGUGGGAGUCUUGUGACAUCAUGAACUCUUUGAAAAACCAAAUGGUUUUUUUUUCUCUUUAAUCUGUUGGAUGUUACCAGAGAACAAGAUAAUGAUCCAAAACAAAUGAACAGAUGAAAUUGUACCGACACAGAUUUUUGCUAACGUCGUUAUUGCUUUAUUUGUUCCAUUAUGAUCUCCUUUGUUAUUUUAAUAGAUCAAUACCUCUGUUUGUUGGUCUGUAAUGUUUGAUUUGUAUGCACUAAUUGGUGAAUAAAUGUUAUAAAGUAAAAAAAAAAAGAAGAAGUCAUCGCUUUUGACAUGGAAUUAUUUCCCCGCUGCGUAGAUGUACGCAAGUUAAAGACUGGAUUUUUUUUCUUCUCUUUUUUUCAGUCUAACAUUAUACUUUUACAGCGAAAACAAUUCACUUGUACAGUACAGCACGUACUGUACAAACGCACCUUCACAGAUUUGCUUUAAAGGUGCAGAUCUGACAACUGCUUAAUUUUACACGAGCCUCUAAAUGACAGUUUUAGUCGUGUGAAAACGUUUCAAAGGGAUUUUAAGCCUGAUUUAAAUCCCCAUGAGUGGCAAAAAAAAAA